rnacentral:misc_RNA from 1 species
AAUUCUCAACCUUGCUUGCUUUUACCGGCUUAAGUGAGGCUUGGACGUGAGGGCUUUGCUGGCUUCCUUCAGUGGAUGGUCCGCUCCCUUUAAAUGCAUUAGUGGGAUCUCUUGUGGACCGUCACUUGGUGUGAUAAUUAUCUAUGCCUCGUCGACUUUGAAGCAAAAUUUAUGGGAACCUGCUUAUAACCGUCUCGCAAGGGACAACACCUUUGACA